UAGUUCUCUGAUCUGAGUGAUGUCAUCUGAAUUUCACAUGCCACUUGGGCUGCGAUUGGUUGGUCACCUGUCUUUCAGCCAAUCGCAGCUUGGCUUAAUCUCCAUAAACGUGUUGCUUGACGGUGCCCCUCUAAAGCCACUUCCCCCGUCUCUGGAUGGGAAUAGUGUGACAGAUUUGAAAGCAUUAGUUAUUACACAAUUCAUUUCUGUUCAGUCAAAGAAAAACAAUCCUUCAGUACGAGAAAUGUAAAAGUUAAUGGAGUAGUGUCUUCACCUUUUUAUAUUACACACACCGGACUGAUCAGAGGAUGCACAUCUAGUGCGGGUGUGUAUGCAUCCAUACAUGCCUAGUGUGCCAGUGGGACUAUGAAUGGACAGUGACGGGUGUGACUGUCAGAGGAAGCAGUACACAAGUGAUCGCCCCACCAGCACUUAUCUGAGAGGAAAAGGGAAGAAAUAAGGAGAGAGAUCCCUUCCAGGUGGGCCGGACCUGGACAAAGUCAAGGAGGGCCCAGAAGGUUCUGAGACGUCCUCUACAGAGGAGCUGAAGUGACGACUGCUUGGCCCUGCAGGAAUAUCGGGCCAUGAGCCUUCCAUCUGCUCAUUAUUUAUACAUGCAUGCAUGCUUAGUCACUUGCCUUUCCACAUUUACUUUAAAGCAAACACUGAGUUGGUGAGUAAUUAGAAACACACAUGCGACAGGGAUACCCAUGAUGGUUCUGUAUCUACCAAACUGAAUGUGUAUUCUUCACAAUAAAUCAAUCCCGUUGA